rnacentral:rRNA from 1 species
UAUGUGAUCGUCUCUCGCAUAUCAAUAAGCGGAGGAAAAGGAACUAACAAGGAUUCCCCUAGUAACGGCGAGUGAAGCGGGAAGAGCUCAAAUUUGAAAUCUUAAAGGGCUUCCCUUUACGAAUUGUAGUUUAAAGAAGUGUUUUCUGUUGAGGUUUUGGUAAAAGUUCUUUGGAAUAGGACAUCAUAGAGGGUGAGAAUCCCGUAUUUGACCUUUACUUUCAACUUUGUGAUACACUUUCAAAGAGUCGGAUUGUUUGGGAAUGCAGUCCAAAAUGGGUGGUAAAUUUCAUCUAAAGCUAAAUAUUGGCGAGAGACCGAUAGCGAACAAGUACCGUGAGGGAAAGAUGAAAAGAACUUUGAAAAGAGAGUUAAACAGUACGUGAAAUUGUCAAAAGGGAAGCGUUUGACACCAGUGUUGUUUUUCUGAAAAUCAAUUAAAGAACUGUUUAUGACUAAGUUGUUUAGACUUUAUCAGCUAUCUGCUUAGUUUUGAGCUUUUCUUUAAUGCACUUUUCAGUUAACAAGUCAACAUCAAUUUCUUUUGCUGUAAAAAAGCUUGAGGAAGGUGGCUUGAGAUUCGUCUUAAGUGUUUAUAGCCUCUUGCCUAUGCAGUCGGAGAGAUUGAGGUCUGCAGCGUAGAUCCUUCGGGGCUAAAUGCAUUUGUGCUAAGUUAUAGCAUUUUAUAGACAACUUGUUGACUAUGAUUUGUCUUGUAGCUUACUCGCUUAUGUUAUUUUACCUACGCUUAGGAUGUUGAGUAGCGACAUACGCAC